AACCUAUGGAGACAAGCUCUCUGGUACCUCACCCCAACCCGUGGAACAGGACCUCAGAGGGCACACAUGCCAGCUGAGGUAUGGCUUGGGUUGGUGGCCUGGCAAGCACAGGUCUUCAGUGUCCCAUCAGCCCAUGUCACUUGGGACCCACAUUUCCUGACAUCCACUGAGUGCAAAGCAGGAAGAACGAAAGCUGGUCCGUUCUGAGUCCUGGCUCUACCUCUGGCUAGCUGUGCAGCUUUGGCAAUUUCCUUAAUCUCACUGAGCCUGUUUCCUUAUCCAUAAAAUAGGGAUAUGACAAGAGUAUCUGCCUCCUUCUGUUGUGAUGAGGAAUAAAACAAGAGGGCUCCAGAGGCUGAAGCCUACCAUCUGGAUCACUACACACACCUGAUGCACGGUGACCAUGACUGUUUGCAGGGCACUGAGAAAAGCACCUGCUUGCAGUUGACCGGCUUUCCCAUACUGGGCCAUGCCUGAUGCUGGGGACUUCCACCUGGGGUCUUGGCUUCCCAAAUGAGCCUGUGAGACUAAGAACAGUCAGGACAGUCCCCAGACCUAUCCCCUUCUCUAGGUGGCAGGUUACUUGCUCCCUCAGCCAUACUCUUGAGGGUUCCUGCAAGGCCCCAAUGCUGAGGGCACAGCUGUAUUCUGGGCUUCGGCUCACACUUGCCCUCCCUAUCCUUCCUCUGACUGAUGGACUAAUCACCAGCCCUUGGCAUCCAGUUUAAAGGCCACUUCCUCCCAGAAGCCAUCCUGGACUCCCACAGGCAGAUGUGCCUGUCCCUCUGUAGACUCCUGCAGUACUUUUCCUGCCCCUGUUAGCCAUCUGGCAGCAGAACUACGGUGGCCCAACUGCUUGUCCUCACUGGGUGGGGAGCUCCUCCAGAACAAGGCCUCCUUUGGCUA